rnacentral:rRNA from 1 species
UAGGGAAUCUUCCACAAUGGGCGAAAGCCUGAUGGAGCAACGCCGCGUGAGUGAUGAAGGCCUUCGGGUUGUAAAACUCUGUCAUUCGGGACGAACCGGAGUCUGAGGACAUGCAGACUCCCUGACGAUACCGGAGGAGGAAGCCCCGGCUAACUACGUGCCAGCAGCUGCGGUAAUACGUAGGGGGCCAGCGUUGUCCGGAUUUACUGGGCGUAAAGCGCGCGCAGGCGGUGAUGUAAGUCUGGGGUGAAAACCCGAAGCUCAACUUCGGGACUGCCGUGGAAACUGCCUCACUUGAGGAUAGGAGAGGCAAGGGGAAUUCCACGUGUAGCGGUGAAAUGCGUAGAGAUGUGGAGGAACACCUGUGGCGAAGGCGCCUUGCUGGCCUAUUACUGACGCUGAGGUGCGAAAGCGGGGGGAGCAAACAGG